rnacentral:tRNA from 1 species
GCCCCUAUGGCGUAGUGGUAGCGCGUGUCACUUGUAUCAUCUGCAAGAUUAUGACAAGGUCUCUCGUUCGAUCCGGGAUGGGGGCA